UCCCCGCUUUUCCUCCCUGAGCGGGAGCCUUGAUGUGUGACAGCUAAUAGGCUUUCUAGCCCGGCUAUGCCUGGGCUUUUUUUU
rnacentral:ncRNA from 1 species